UACAGAGGUCCCGAGCGUUGUUCGGAUUCACUGGGCGUAAAGGGUGCGUAGGCGGUCGGGUAAGUCUGACGUGAAAUCUUCAAGCUUAACUUGGAAACUGCGUCGGAUACUAUUCGGCUGGAGGAAUGGAGGGGAGACUGGAAUACUUGGUGUAGCAGUGAAAUGCGUAGAUAUCAAGUGGAACACCAGUGGCGAAGGCGAGUCUCUGGACAUUUCCUGACGCUGAGGCACGAAAGCCAGGGGAGCAAACGGG
rnacentral:rRNA from 1 species